rnacentral:lncRNA from 1 species
AGAGCUUGGAGCGGAGGAGGCCCGGCAGCGCCUGAAGGAGCAGUCCAUCUUUGGGGACCAGCAAGAUGAGGACGACAGGCAGCAGUUUAGGAAAUCGGAGUCAGAGGUGGAGGAGGCUGCUGCCAUCAUUGCUCAGCGGCCUGACAACCCCCGGGACUUCUUCAAGCAGCAGGAGCGGGUGGCAUCGGGCAGCAGUGAUGCUGUGUCACCAGGCAGCCACAGGACAGAGUCCCCCAGCCCCAGCGCACAGGAGCCCGGGCCGGCCACGCCCGAGCAGCACUGGCCCUUCCCGGGGCCCGAGGACAAGGCCAUCGAGCCCCCCGGGGAUGAGCCCAGCCCCAGACCAGUGUGGACAGAGGGGGGUGAUGCCCUGGGGGACCUGGUGACCCUGGAGCCCACCGAGCCCUCCCUGCCACCCGUGGCUGACGAGCCCCAAACUGAGGCA